rnacentral:rRNA from 1 species
GACGAACGCUGGCGGCGUGCUUAACACAUGCAAGUCGAGCGGUAAGGCCCAGCUUGCUGGGUACACGAGCGGCGAACGGGUGAGUAACACGUGGGUGACCUGCCCUCAGCUUCGGGAUAAGCCUGGGAAACUGGGUCUAAUACCGGAUGGGACCUUCUGAUGCAUGUCGGGGGGUGGAAAGUUUUUCGGCUGGGGAUGGGCCCGCGGCCUAUCAGCUUGUUGGUGGGGUGAUGGCCUACCAAGGCGGCGACGGGUAGCCGGCCUGAGAGGGCGUCCGGCCACACUGGGACUGAGACACGGCCCAGACUCCUACGGGAGGCAGCAGUGGGGAAUAUUGCGCAAUGGACGGAAGUCUGACGCAGCGACGCCGCGUGGGGGAUGACGGCCUUCGGGUUGUAAACCUCUUUCGCCAUCGACGAAGCCUUUGGGUGACGGUAGGUGGAGAAGAAGCACCGGCCAACUACGUGCCAGCAGCCGCAGUAAAAC